UGGGGAAUUUUGGACAAUGGGCGAAAGCCUGAUCCAGCAAUGCCACGUGUGUGAAGAAGGCCUUCGGGUUGUAAAGCACUUUUGUCCGGAAAGAAAUCCUUGGCUCUAAUACAGUCGGGGGAUGACGGUACCGGAAGAAUAAGCACCGGCUAACUACGUGCCAGCAGCCGCGGUAAUACGUAGGGUGCAAGCGUUAAUCGGAAUUACUGGGCGUAAAGCGUGCGCAGGCGGUUUGCUAAGACCGUUGUGAAAUCCCCGGGCUCAACCUGGGAACUGCAUUGGUGACUGGCAGGCUAGAGUAUGGCAGAGGGGGGUAGAAUUCCACGUGUAGCAGUGAAAUGCGUAGAGAUGUGGAGGAAUACCGAUGGCGAAGGCAGCCCCCUGGGCCAAUACUGACGCUCAUGCACGAAAGCGUGGGGAGCAAAACAGGAUUAGAUACCCUGGUAGUCCACGCCCUAAACGAUGUCAACUAGUUGUUGGGGAUUCAUUUCCUUAGUAACGUAGCUAACGCGUGAAGUUGACCGCCUGGGGAGUACGGUCGCAAGAUUAAAACUCAAAUGAAUUGACGGGGUCAUAGCUGUUUCCU
rnacentral:rRNA from 1 species